rnacentral:rRNA from 1 species
CACUUCUAAGGAAGGCAGCAGGCGCGCAAAUUACCCAAUCCUGACUCAGGGAGGUAGUGACAAGAAAUAACAAUAAACCGGCUUAUGCCGGUUUAAUUGGAAUGAGUACAAUUUAAACAUCUUAACGAGGAACAAUUGGAGGGCAAGUCUGGUGCCAGCAGCCGCGGUAAUUCCAGCUCCAAUAGCGUAUACUAAAGUUGUUGCAGUUAAAAAGCUCGUAGUUGGAUUUCUGUGGGGACGGAGCGGCCGGCCGCACAUCGCGGUUCGAGCUAGCGCUUUCCCUACAUCCUGCCGCGAACCGUGCUACCAUUAGUUUGGUGGCGCCGGGGAUCGGCUCGAUUACUUUGAGAAAAAUAGAGUGUUCAAAGCAGGCCACAUGCCUUGAAUAAGUUAGCAUGGAAUAAUAACUAAGGACUUCGGUUCUAUUUUGUUGGUGUUCGGGACUGAAGUAAUGAUUGAUAGGGACAGUUGGGGCGGUCUGUAUUCCAAAGCGAGAGGUGAAAUUCUUAGACCUUCGGAAGACAAACAGCUGCGAAAGCGUUCCGCAAGGAUGUUCCCUUUGAUCAAGAACGAAAGUUGGGGGAUCGAAGACGAUCAGAUACCGUCGUAGUCUCAACUAUAAACUAUACCAGCUAGGGAUCGGCCAACGUUAUUUUAUACCGACUUGGUCGGCACCUUAUGAGAAAUCAAAGCAUCUGGGUUCCGGGGGGAGUAUGGUCGCAAGGCUGAAACUUAAAGGAAUUGACGGAAGGGCACCACCAGCCGUGGAGCCUGUGGCUUAAUUUGACUCAACACGGGAAAACUUACCAGGUCCAGACAUAGUAAGGAUUGACAGGUUGAUAGCUCUUUCUUGAUUCUGUGGGUGGUGGUGCGUGGCCGUUCUUAGUUGGUGGAGUGAUUUGUCUGGUUAAUUCCGUUAACGAACGAGACCCCAGCCUGCUAAAUAGCGCGCGUGAGCUUUGCUCGCGGCGAGCUUCUUAGAGGGACUAUGAUGCGCGAUAGCACAUGGAAGUUUGGGGCAAUAACAGGUCUGUGAUGCCCUUAGAUGUUCUGGGCCGCACACGGGCUACACUGGCGCCUGCAACGAGCAUAUCAGCUGGCCCGAGAGGGUCUUGGCUAAUCUUUUGAACCGGCGCCGUGCUUGGGAUUGACCUUUGCAAUUGUUGGUCAUGCAACGAGGAAUGCCUUGUAAACGCGAGUCAUCAGCUCGCAUUGAAUACGUCCCUGCCCUUUGUACACACCGCCCGUCGCUCCUACCGAUGAAUGUUCCGAUGAAAUUUUCGGAGAGUGCCUGUGAACUUGGCUCUGCCUUGCGAACGGGAAGCUCAAAGUCACUUAAAUCUGAACAUUU